AUACAAGACAGGGCCAAGGAAAGGACAGUGCUCAAGACAGCAAGUAUUAUUCCACAACCAUGUUCAGCUCCCUUACCCAAGAUCUUGGAUACAAUGCAACCGGCAGUGUUGGCUUGAAUGAUGACACAAACCUCUCCAUUGUGACAUUGACUAGUAAGCCCUUUCUUCCAUCAGAGGAAAAGGAAUGUGAAACCAGCAAACAGCUGGGAGCAUUCACCAACAACUAAUAUCUUGUGAUCUCUCAUUAAUCAAGUUGUGAUAACAUCGCCAUCUCUAUAAAAGCUGAUAACUUCUGUAUGUACACAGAACUCUCUACCAAUCAGCUCAGAAGAGAGUCUGGCUGUUGGGGUCUUCUCCAAUACAGUUGCUUUGUUUUUAAUAGGGUAUUGGACAGACUUCAACCCUAAUCACAAUGUGAAGGCUUGAUUCCACCAUCACCCUAUAUGCCCUAGUUUACACGUAAGUCAAUCCAUGGUUUGAUGUGAACGCAUGAGUGUGGAAGCUGCCAGAUUGAGGCUGCUUUGUUCAUCCACCAGGCCUGCUGUGAGUAAGCCAUGCUUUGGCUUAGCAUGUUGCCUGAGUUUGGGCUCAUGAGCUGUUUCCUCCAGAAAAACCUUGAGCUAUAAACUGGAGACAAACCUUAUUUGUUGCACGUAGUUUGUCUGGAGCAAGAGAAACUCAUGAGCCCAGGUUCAGGUGACACUAAACUAAAGCAUGACUUAAGCCAUCUCACAGCAAUGCAACAGCAGGAGGACCAAAGCCUGGCGAAAAUCUGCAAGGCAAAAUAUUUGAAGUUUACCAGUGAGGCAUCACUGAUAUUCUAAAUUCCUGACCCUCAUACAGGAACACUACUCAAGUUGUGAACAUCGGUCUUCAAGACUGGAACACCUAAGUCUGGAGAGGACAAGCUAUGGUUCAGGAUUUUCAAAAUGGGUCUUACUAUAGAUCUUUGUGAAUGAACGAGGGAAGGACAAUACCAUCAAUCUUAUUCUAGCUGGUGAAGAAUCAGUUGCUCUUCUGGUAAUUAACUAGCUAACAAACAAACAAAAACUCCCUGUGAUCCCAAAGAUGGAAAAAGAAAUAAAAAAAACUGAGAAUGAAGAGUCAACUGAAGUCGAAACAACUCAACAGUGCCCCCUGAUGACAAAAAGAGAAUUAUCCAGGAAUCCCUUACUGUUGGAAAACUGCCUGCCAGAUGCAAUUUCUGAAGCUUCAGUAACCUCCAGCAAUGUCUAUGGGAUGAUGCUGUAUGACACAAAAGGAAAGGAAGAGGAAACACAGCUAGCCUCUGAUGCCC